rnacentral:rRNA from 1 species
GUCAGCUCGUGUCGUGAGAUGUUGGGUUAAGUCCCGUAACGAGCGCAACCCUUGUCCUUAGUUACCAGCACGUUAUGGUGGGCACUCUAAGGAGACUGCCGGUGACAAACCGGAGGAAGGUGGGGAUGACGUCAAGUCAUCAUGGCCCUUACGGCCUGGGCUACACACGUGCUACAAUGGUCGGUACAAAGGGUUGCCAAGCCGCGAGGUGGAGCUAAUCCCAUAAACCGAUCGUAGUCCGGAUCGCAGUCUGCAACUCGACUGCGUGAAGUCGGAAUCGCUAGUAAUCGUGAAUCAGAAUGUCACGGUGAAUACGUUCCCGGGCCUU